GGGUAACUGUCCUCAGUGAACUGCUUGCUUCCAUUGGUAAAGCCAUCUGUUCUUGCCUGAAAGAAAAUAGCAGCCAGAAAUUCAGACCCUGAAGCUGCAAUAUGGCUCUGUGCAACUCCCUGUGUUUGCUGCAUGCUGGCACCACCUGCACACAGAACUUCUGACCCCUGCAGAAGGAUGAAGAGCAAAGAGACAAGAGAACCAGAAGAAAAGCAGUCUACAGAAGAGGCUGGAGCUUCCACAGUCCACAAGUCUUGCAAUUUUGCCUCAGCACCAAUAUUCUUAUUCUGUGGGUUGAAGAAAC